rnacentral:rRNA from 1 species
CGUGAGGAAGGCAGACCCAGGGAACUGAAACAUCUAAGUACCUGGAGGAAGAGAAAGAAAAAUCGAUUUCCUGAGUAGCGGCGAGCGAAACGGAAAGAGCCCAAACCAAGAAGCUUGCUUCUUGGGGGUGUAGGACACUCUAUACGGAGUUACAAAAGAAAGUUAUAAAUGAAGCGGUCUGGAAAGGCCCGCCAAAGACGGUAACAGCCCGGUAGUUGAAAUAGCUUUCCCUCCAGAGUGGAUCCUGAGUACGGC